rnacentral:miRNA from 1 species
UAAGUGGUGAUCUGACUCUAA